AGUGAACGCUGGCGGUAGGCCUAACACAUGCAAGUCGAACGGCAGCACAGUAAGAGCUUGCUCUUACGGGUGGCGAGUGGCGGACGGGUGAGGAAUACAUCGGAAUCUACUUUUUCGUGGGGGAUAACGUAGGGAAACUUACGCUAAUACCGCAUACGACCUACGGGUGAAAGCAGGGGAUCUUCGGACCUUGCGCGAUUGAAUGAGCCGAUGUCGGAUUAGCUAGUUGGCGGGGUAAAGGCCCACCAAGGCGACGAUCCGUAGCUGGUCUGAGAGGAUGAUCAGCCACACUGGAACUGAGACACGGUCCAGACUCCUACGGGAGGCAGCAGUGGGGAAUAUUGGACAAUGGGCGCAAGCCUGAUCCAGCCAUACCGCGUGGGUGAAGAAGGCCUUCGGGUUGUAAAGCCCUUUUGUUGGGAAAGAAAAGCAGUAGGUGAAUACCCCGCUGUUCUGACGGUACCCAAAGAAUAAGCACCGGCUAACUUCGUG
rnacentral:rRNA from 1 species